rnacentral:rRNA from 1 species
CAACGAAUAUUCCGCAAUGGACGCAAGUCUGACGGAGCGACGCCGCGUGCAGGAAGAAGUCCCUCGGGAUGUAAACUGCUGUCAGGGGCUAGAAAGAUCUGAUCAGCCCCGGAGGAAGUCUCGGCUAACUACGUGCCAGCAGCCGCGGUAAUACGUAGGGUGCAGGCGUUAAUCGGAAUUACUGGGCGUAAAGGGUGCGCAGGCGGUUUGUUAAGACAGGUGUGAAAUCCCCGGGCUUAACCUGGGAACUGCGCUUGUAACUGGCAGGCUAGAGUGUGGCAGAGGGGGGUGGAAUUCCACGUGUAGCAGUGAAAUGCGUAGAUAUGUGGAGGAACACCGAUGGCGAAGGCAGCCCCCUGGGUUAACACUGACGCUCAUGCACGAAAGCGUGGGGAGCAAACAGGAUUAGAUACCCUGGUAGUCCACGCCCUAAACGAUGUCAACUAGUUGUCGGGGAAGCAAUUCCUUGGUAACGAAGCUAACGCGUGAAGUUGACCGCCUGGGGAGUACGGCCGCAAGGUUA